rnacentral:rRNA from 1 species
UAGUGAGUUUGAUCCUGGCUCAGAACGAACGCUGGCGGCAGGCUUAACACAUGCAAGUCGAACGGGCGUAGCAAUACGUCAGUGGCAGACAGGUGAGUAACACGUGGGAACGUCCCCCUCGGUUCGGAAUAACUCAGGGAAACUUGAGCUAAUACCGGAUACGUCCGAGAGGAGAAAGAUUUAUCGCCGAGGGAUCGGCCCGCGUCUGAUUAGCUAGUUGGUGAGGUAACGGCUCACCAAGGCGACGAUCAGUAGCUGGUCUGAGAGGACGAUCAGCCACACUGGGACUGAGACAC